rnacentral:rRNA from 1 species
AAGACCCCUUAAAGACGAUAAGGUUGAUAGGUCAGGAGUGUAAGCAUGGCGACAUGUUAAGCGGACUGAUACUAAUAGGUCGAGGACUUAACCUA